rnacentral:rRNA from 1 species
AUUAUCAGCAAUACCACCUUAAAAUUGUCCAAUCUCAUCUGACUCUGAAGCUAAGCAGGGCUGGGCCUGGUUAGUACUUGGAUGGGAGACCGCUGGGAAUACCAGUAAACACAAGU